rnacentral:rRNA from 1 species
AGUGAACGCUGGCGGUAUGCCUAACACAUGCAAGUCGAACGGCAGCACAGUAAGAGCUUGCUCUUACGGGUGGCGAGUGGCGGACGGGUGAGGAAUACAUCGGAAUCUACUUUUUCGUGGGGGAUAACGUAGGGAAACUUACGCUAAUACCGCAUACGACCUACGGGUGAAAGCAGUGGAUCUUCGGACCUUGCCCGAUUGAAUGAGCCGAUGUCGGAUUAGCUAGUUGGCGGGGUAAAGGCCCACCACGGCGACGAUCCGUAGCUGGUCUGAGAGGAUGAUCAGCCACACUGGAACUGAGACACGGUCCAGACUCCUACGGGAGGCAGCAGUGGGGAAUAUUGGACAAUGGGCGCAAGCCUGAUCCAGCAAUACCGCGUGGGUGAAGAAGGCCUUCGGGUGGUAAAGCCCUUUUGUUGGGAAAGAAAAGCAGCAGGUUAAAACCCCGAUGUUCUGACGGUACCCAAAGAAUAAGCAACGGCUAACUUCGUG